CAUUUUUAGACUAUACUUAGCAGCAAUUAGUGUGAAACUAGACUUCAUCAUGAAGACUUCAUUGUUGCUGCUAGAUGAUGCUGUUUAGAACUGAGUCUACUUAGGAUAAGUUUUAUUUUUAGAAGAUAUGACAGGAAAAGAGAUCUGUGAUUAUUUUGGCUACUGGCCUCGCUACUUCUUGUUCUGUGUCUGGGUCAUCGACAUCGCCAUGAUAUUUUUGGUUUAUCACUUGGAAACAUGUUUGAAAGAAAUAACUGAAAAAUUCCAAAGGGACAAACAUCAAGAAGAGGACUAUGCCAACUACAGGACGAGUGGAUUUAUGUGAGAGCAAACCAGCUGAAGCAAUAAUUGAACAAUGAUGUAAAAUUACUUGCAUACAAAUAUGACAGUACAAAGAAAGAACUGAAUUCUUGUAAUGGAGUGUCUUAAUAUAGACCUAUUUCAUUCAAAUGCAUACUUUUUGUGUGGAAAUCUGAGGAAAUUUUAAAUAAGUACAGCACGAUGUGUUGCUCAGCCUUUCUGAUAAAAAUACUUUGCUAUACACUUGUAUAAUAUCCAAAUACAAAGAUCUUAUAUAACCUUAUUUAUCUGUCACAAAAAAAAGUAUUAUAAGGAGAUUCAGGGAGCCUGGAUAUUAUCCCUAAAUAACCCCCUUAAAGGAACUGUUGUGAGAAGACUCAAUAGGUUUAUUUUUGUGUAAAAAAUAAUAAUAAAAGUAUUUUAUUACUUCACUUCUUUUGUUUACACCUGUGAAGAAAUAUUUUAAUUUAUCAUUACAUUUAUUUUUCUU